GCCGACCUAGCUCAGUGGUAGAGCGCGUGGCUUUUAACCACGUGGCCGUGUGGGUUCGAUCCCCACGGUCGGCG
rfam:Triticum urartu cultivar G1812 contig295869, whole genome shotgun sequence.